UCUGAAACUACUGGGCCAAAUUAAACCAAACUUGGCCACAAUGGUCAUUGGGGUAUCUAGUUUAAAAAAUGUGUGGCGUGACCCGGCCAACCAACCAAGAUGGCCGCCAUGGCUAAAAAUAGAACAUAGGGGUAAAAUGCAGUUUUUGGCUUAUAACUUAAAAACCAAAGCAUUUAGAGCAAAUCUGACAUGGUAAUAUUGUUUAUCAGGUCAAGAUCUUUCUGCCCUGAAAUUUUCAG
rnacentral:lncRNA from 1 species